rnacentral:rRNA from 1 species
GUGCAGCCGCCGCGGUAAUACCGGCAGCUCGAGUGAUGGCCGAUCUUAUUGGGCCUAAAGCGUUCGUAGCCGGCCACGCAAGUCCCUCGGGAAAUCCGUCAGCCCAACUGACGGGCGUCCGGUGGAAACUGCGUGGCUUGGGACCGGAAGACCCGAAGGGUACGUCUUGGGUAGGAGUGAAGUCCCGUAAUCCUGGACGGACCGCCGAUGGCGAAAGCACUUCGAGAAAACGGAUCCGACAGUGAGGGACGAAAGCCAGGGUCUCCAACCGGAUUAGAAACCCCUGUAGUCC